UGGUAAAGAAAACAAAGUAACCCAGCUACCUAAACAGACAUUUUUCUUAUCCCUAAAUAUUUGAAAAAACAAAGUCCCUUUAGAUUCCUUUUCUUCUUGGAAAACCACCGAGUGUCUUGCUCUUGUUCAUGCCGAUUCGUCUUAAAGAAGAAAAAUAAUCUUAAAAUUUACCCAAAAUUUUCUAUCUUGCCUUUGCUCCGGUCACAAUCCUAGAGCCGAAACUGUGAAUCAACCUAUAAGUCUCUUCUGAUUUUCGUUUUGCUUGCCAAAGGUGAGAGUUGCCGUCAAGUACCAUUUUUAACCAGCUAGAUUUCGAUCUAAAGGAAAGAAACCUAUCUCAGCUGUCAAUAAUCUUCGUCAACUACCUCUUUUGCAAAGGAAGGAACCUCAUCGAUCAAAUUAGAUUUUUCAUCUCUUUUUAAUCCUUCUACAACCAAUAAAUGUGCUACACCAUUUGCGUCUCUCGACGCGUACUUAAAAACGUAAGCUUGAUAUCUUCCACUAAUAGCUCUGGCAUUUAAGAUGUAAGCACUUAUUACUGACCUUUAGAUUCAUUUUGUUUGCAGCUUUCGAAUCACUGAUAAUGUGCCCCAUUCUAUCUCCACCAUCGUAAGUUCAACAUGUAGCCACAUCUCUAUAAUACCUUUUAUUUAUUCCAAUCGUCGAACCUGAGUAAUAAGAUGCUAAGAAUAAAUACCAAACAAUUGCAUACAAAUUAUUUAUCAAAAUCUCAAUUAAUCAUCAUCAUAUCACAUAUAAUCAAAAACAUCAUGUAAUUUAAUCAUUUUUUUUAUAUUGAGCAUAUGGAAGCUUAAAAACAAUUUAGUAUCAAUCAGGGAUCAAAUUGAAGCAAAAUAGAAAAAUAGGAAAAUUGUGCAUACAAGGGACACACACCCAUGUCUCCUAGUCGUGUGGAAAGGCCUAGGUCGUUUGGGUCAAUUACAUGGUUUUAUGGGCAAACUGUGCAACAGCUUGAUACCGUGUGAUAUUAAAGACACGCCGUCGUGCAAACAAUCGUGUACCCUCAUCUAGGCCAUGUGAGUCAAAAGUGAAAAAAAUAAAAAAACGUGUCACAUAGCAGUGUUGUUGGGUCGUGUAACAAAUUGUGGUCGUGUGCUCCAAAAAUCGACCAAAACUUACAGGCCACACAAUCGUGCUUUUAACCAUAUAAGGCACAUGAUUGUGUGCCAGACAGUGUAUACCUAGAAAUUACCUUCUAAAAUAAACUAUUCAAACUAAAUCACUUAUACUACAACUUAUCAUUUAAGCCACAUCUCACCCAAAUCAAAUCUCAUCGAAAUCAUACUAAUAUCAUCAUUUUAAUACAACCAUCCUAAGUGUUUAACCAAUAUGCAACAAUUGGCACCUCAAUCAACAAUUCAAAACUAUCAAGUAACCAAAUUUAAUCAUACCAAUAUAUAAUUAAAGGCACCUCAAAAUAACUAACCAACAUAUAUGCAUUCAACCAUUCAACCAUAUCACCUUUGGUUUCAUAUUAGUCUUAUAACCUAAAUUCUAGAACAAUCGAAUUUUCUUCAAUUAAUACAUAGCUAUAAACAUAAAACUUACCAAAUCAUUUCUAAGGCAUAACUUAAGCAUACACUUUCAAGCACCAGUCAAGACACAUCACAUGGUAUAUUAUUUUCUCUUCCACUAAUUCAUUAGGCAUACAAACCAAACUACCUAUCAUGAUAACAUCAACAUCGAUAUUACCAUUCCAUACAUAUAUACAAAUACUUAUAUACAUAAUUUUCCAAACUGUCAGCAAAAUACAAAAAGAUAAUUAAGAAAAACAUAAGACUUCCUACGUACAUGCCAAGACCAAAAUGAACACAUCACCAACUCGAGUUCGAGAUUACCAUUAGAUGCUGAAGUUAACAAUUAAGUCAAAAUGUACCUAACCUGCGCACGUAAACAAAACCUUAUGCUGAGUAUACUUAAUGGUAUUCCUAUAAUCAAAAUAUUAAUAUCUAACCUAAACAUAAUGAUGCACAAGUUAAAAUAAGUAUUGAGAUGUAAUAUAACAUGAAUGAAUGAUGACUUAAACGCAAUAAAUUAAAAAUAACAAGGGUUGGUUAUUGAACUUGUAUACUUUGGAAAUCAAUAAUUAAAAUUGGGCUAAAACAAACUUAUUGUAAAAGGCUUUAAUGUAGAUAUGGAAAAAAUACAGUAUUUACGUCGCAUAAUCAAUAUUUUCUGUGUUUUUUAAUUAUUGUCGUUUCCUUUUACUCAAAAAAUAAGUGUUACGAAAGGUAAUAUUUUUCAUUUUUUUUUACUUUUUGUAAUGUUUAAAACUGUCACCAAUAAAUCACUUUUUGUGAUAUUUUCAAAAUGUCAAAAUUAUUUCUUGUUGUUGUAACACCCAAAUUGCAUUAUUGUGCCUGGGCUAUGAGGGCUCUCAACCACAAAGAUAGUUCAAUGUACUCAUUAGUGCCUGAGCCUGAGACGUGGAUCAUCCAAGGCACAUUAGCAUGGGGUGCUUCUCUUGUUCAAACUGGGGCUUGAAACUAAACUUCUCUUCAGGAGGAUAGAUGGGGCUAUUUAGGUGAGAUACAAUAUAGAUCCAACUUUCUAUUCAUUAGCGGGAUCUAGGCGGUCCCGGGGGACCACCAUGGCUUCUCACUUCUCGAUAAUCUGUACAUCCCUUACAAUUUUAUGGAUAGUUAUCUUUCGAGCACAAGGUUAGGUUCGGCCUCAAUGGGAAAAUAAAAUGGAGCACCUAACAACGCAUCUUCACAGACUAAGAACUACGAGAUCACCCCUUUCAUUCGGGGGUGACGGAGGGAUCGUACCAUUCGAGCCUUUUUUUUCAUGAUUUUCCCAGCGGUCCGGAAAAAGCUGCAAUCAAUAGGAUUUUCCUAGUCCUCCCUUCCCAAAAGAAAGAACAUGAAAUUCUUUUUCCCUAAUUUGUAUCGUAUUGGAGAUUAAGCUAGUUAGGUUCCUGAGAAUGACCAAAGUAAUAGUUGUACUUUUAUUUUAUUAAUUAAAUGUGACAAAAUAAAAUCACCGAGGUCGAACAGUAAUACGAAUAGUAAAAAUGGUCUAUAGAUGAUAAACCAUAAAAGUAACACAUUUUAAUCCCAUACUUAGCAUAUUUUUUGGAUGGUUUAUCAUAUAAUUUAGUGAAUUAGAUGCUCCUAAUCCCUUAAUUUCAUGUUUUAUACUCAGGAGAGCAUAGGGGAACAAAAAGAACAUAAAAUGGGCCAAAAAUGGACAAAACGGGCUGAUUGAAAGAUCCACACGCCAAGACGAAUUCCACACGGGCUGAGCACACGUCCGUGUAAGCCACACGGGCUGGCCACACUCCCAUGUGGUAGCCCGUGUCGAUAUCGCUCCCCGUUUCCUAAAUACACGAAAAAAGCCAAAUUUUAGGGUUUCUAAGCAUUCUAAAGUCAAUAAAAACACACUAGAAGAGGACCUAAGGGGAAGUAGAGCAGAAAGCAUAAGUUACUCGAAGAAAGCUAUUAGAAUCGUCUCAGAAGCAGAUUCACGUCAAGAUUGAAGAUCCCCAUUCAAAUUUUUCUCGAAAUUUAUUUAGGAUUUUCAUGUCUUGUUGUUUUUCGAAAUUUGAUAUGUCUUCCUUUUAUAUUAUGAACUAAAUUCGCUAGAUACCUAGGGAAGAUGAAACCUAAGAUGGAUCUUAUUAUUUAAAAUUCUGAAUUUAAU
rnacentral:lncRNA from 1 species